rnacentral:misc_RNA from 1 species
UGUGUGUAGGCGCUGAGUAGCU